rnacentral:rRNA from 1 species
AGAGUUUGAUCCUGGCUCAGAGUGAACGCUGGCGGCGUGCUUAACACAUGCAAGUCGAACGGAACCUUCGGGUUUAGUGGCGCACGGGUGAGUAAUGUAUAGGUAUGUGCCCCAUAGACUAGGAUAGCCACUGGAAACGGUGAUUAAUACUGGAUACUCCUUACGAGGGAAAGAUUUAUCGCUAUGGGAUCGGCCUAUAUUGUAUCAGCUAGUUGGUGAGGUAAAGGCUCACCAAGGCAAUGACACAUAACUGGUCUGAGAGGAUGAUCAGUCACACUGGAACUGAGACACGGUCCAGACUCCUACGGGAGGCAGCAGUGGGGAAUAUUACACAAUGGAGGAAACUCUGAUGUAGCAACGCCGCGUGGAGGAUGACACAUUUCGGUGCGUAAACUCCUUUUAUUAGGGAAGAUAAUGACGGUACCUAAUGAAUAAGCACCGGCUAACUCCGUGCCAGCAGCCGCGGUAAUACGGAGGGUGCAAGCGUUACUCGGAAUCACUGGGCGUAAAGCGCGCGCAGGCGGGUUUGUAAGUUGGAAGUGAAAUCCACUGGCUUAACCAGUGAACUGCUUCCAAAACUACUUACCUAGAGUCUGGGAGGGGAAGAUGGAAUUAGUUGUGUAGGGGUAAAAUCCGUAGAGAUAACUAGGAAUAUCAAAAGCGAAGGCGAUCUUCUGGAACAGUACUGACGCUGAGGCGCGAAAGCGUGGGGAGCAAACAGGAUUAGAUACCCUGGUAGUCCACGCCCUAAACGAUGAAUGUUAGUCGUCGGUAUGCUCGUCAUAUCGGUGAUGCACUUAACAGAUUAAACAUUCCGCCUGGGGAGUACGGUCGCAAGAUUAAAACUCAAAGGAAUAGACGGGGACCCGCACAAGUGGUGGAGCAUGUGGUUUAAUUCGAAGAUACGCGAAGAACCUUACCUAGCCUUGACAUUGAUAGAAUCCGCUAGAGAUAGUGGAGUGCCAGUUUACUGGAGCUUGAAAACAGGUGCUGCACGGCUGUCGUCAGCUCGUGUCGUGAGAUGUUGGGUUAAGUCCCGCAACGAGCGCAACCCUCGUGACUAGUUACUAACGGUUCGGCCGAGGACUCUAGUCAGACUGCCUUCGCAAGGAGGAGGAAGGUGAGGACGACGUCAAGUCAUCAUGGCCCUUACGGCUAGGGCGACACACGUGCUACAAUGGGCAGGACAAUGAGACGCAAUACCGCGAGGUGGAGCAAAUCUAUAAACCUGCUCUCAGUUCGGAUUGUAGUCUGCAACUCGACUACACGAAGCUGGAAUCACUAGUAAUCGUAGGUCAGCCAUGCUACGGUGAAUACGUUCCCGGGUCUUGUACUCACCGCCCGUCACACCAUGGGAGUUGAUUUCACCCGAAGCGGGGAAGCUAAACUGGCUACCCUCCACGGUGGAAUCAGCGACUGGGGUGAAGUCGUAACAAGGUAACC